GAGAAAUCUCUGGUUCCAGCACGUACUUUAUGGUGGUUAUUUUCGAAGAAAAACUGCAUAUAUCCUUUGUUUAAGGUUGCAUCGCCGUUUCACCCUUUUGAAUGUCAUUAAACCUGCUGACAACGCUCAUCGGUCUCCAGAGUCGUGACGUAAGAAAGGUGUUAAACAGCCCUUGCAUCAGACAUGCACCCCUAACGGCACAAGCACUGCUCCCUGCCUCCACACUACUCUGCUGAUGGCUCCUGAGUAUCAGCUGCUGCAGUUCCUCCAGGCUCAUAUCCAUGUUUUCCACUGCAUCUGAAGCAUCUAAUCUGCACGCACAAAUACGGACAAUUUUGUGAGUACAAAAACAACUAGGACAGGGAUAUUUAACUAAACUGUUUUGUCACAUUUCCUCAGAGCUAAGAGACUCCUUUCACUAUUAGUCUUAUUUAGUAUAUCAGAGGGAACCGGCGUCUUCUACAGUUUACAAUUGUUUUUUGUCUAUUUUGUCAGAGUUUCAGGAGCGCUUUGCUGUUCCUUCUGCAAAAAAGCUAGCUAAAGAUCUUUCUGUAAAAUCUGCUGCAAAAUGUUUAAUCUCUCACAAGGUUUUGAACAGACCUCGCAGGCCAUCAGUUAAAUAGAGCAAAUGAGGAAAAACAAGAGGACCUAAAAUGGAACCUUGAGGAACACUACUAGUACAACUAUAGAAGUUGAACAAAUGACUACUGACUGCACCUGAAGUUUAGUUAAAUGAAUCACAUGACGAAAAAAAAAAAAAAGAAGUAGAGGACUCAAAGAGGUGCCUUGGGGAACACCAAUUAUUUCAAUCCCAAUUUGGACCCCAGUGUUCUAUGUUAAAAUGACAAGACAAUGAUCUGCCAGUGUGUUUACAUUGCUCCUCUAUACAUAUAGGAUGGAUACAUUUAGGAGCACUCAAGUGUUUUUAGGAAUUUGCUGCAAAAAUAUUUGUCCCAAGUAGUGUUGUCCCGAUACCAAUAUUUUGGUACCGGUACCAAAAUUAUUUCGAUACUUUUCGGUACUUUUCGGCACUUUUCUAAAUAAAGGGGACCACAAAAAAUUGCAUUAUUGGCUUUAUUUGAACAACAAAUGUUACGGUACCUUAAACAUCUUAUUGCAAGUUUGUCCUUAAAUAAAAUAGUGAACAUAAAAGACAACUUGAUUUUGUAUUUGUAAGUAAGCAAACAAAGGCUCCUAAUUUAGCUGCUGACAUAUGCAGUAACAUAUUGUGUCAUUUUCCAUUCUAUUAUUUUGUCAACAUUAUUAAGGACAAGUGGUAGAAAAUGAAUUAUUAAUCUACUUGUUCAUUUACUGUUAAUAUCUGCUUACUUUCUCGUUUAACAUGUUCUAUCUACACUUCUGUUAAAAUGUAAUAAUCACUUAUUCUUCUGUUGUUUGAUACUUUACAUUAGUUUUGGAUGAUACCACAAAUUUUGGUAUCAAUCCGAUACCAAGGAUCAUACAUUGGUCAUAUUCAAAGAUCCUCAUGUGUCCAGGGACAUAUUUCAUGAGUUUAUAAACACAAUACAUUUUUUUUAAACGAAAGAAGAUGUGAUUCCAAAAAAAAUCAACGUAAUUAUCCUAGUAUCGACGAGAUAUGCUCCUGUACUUGGUAUCAUUACAGUGGAUGUCAGGCGUAGAUCCACCAAUGGCGUUUGUUUACAUUUUGAUGCCGGUGAGCUACGGUGUGUAGUGAAGCAUGUUUAGCUAUUCUUCGUCCUGCAGAGCUGAUAAUUGUAAGAAAUUUACUUUAUUUGUCACCAUGGAGUCGAGGAUUAGUGAUUUAGAAGUACCGUACUGGUACUUUUCAGAGGCGGUAUAGUACCAAAAAUGAUUCAUUAGUAUUGCGGUACUAUACUAAUACUGGUAUACCUUGUCAGGUACAAAACUUUACCUUACUAGCCUGUAUAAAUUAACCAUUUAUAAAUAUUGGUAUACCGUACAACCCUAGUCCCAAAUUUUGAACUGAAUUCUCAUUUCCGGGCCGGAUUUAGCCCCCAGGCCACCAGUUGAAAAUCCCUGAUAUAAGACGUGAGCUCUUACCUUUCCAUGGCAGCUCUCCUACUCCUCUUAUCUGUCAGUGAGGCAGUUGAGCUUCUCCCCUCCAAAACAGACUGCACCAUUGCAACAGGAAGCACUGGAGGUUCGGAGGAGCACACCUCACAGGGGGAACUCAACGCUAGAGCGUCUCCUGCAGCAACACUGCCUCCUUUCACUCCUGCUCUAACUCCUGGGCUCACAGGCUCCUCUUUGAUCAGCAUCAGACAUUUUUCUCUGAGAGGGAAAUGGAGGGAUGACAUAAUGCUCUUUGUAUGCCAAUGCAUAUCCUCUGUUUAUGAUAAAUACCCAGAUAUAAUAACUUGUAUCCAUCAUAAUGUUUUCAAAUGCUUAUGAAUGUAGUCAAGGGAAAGCUGGAGUUGGAAUGUUUUGUUUUUUUGGGGGGUUUGGGCCCAUUUUAAUCAGGACAAAAUAUUACAGAUGUAUUGAAAUGUGUUGUAUGGUUGAAAACAAAUGUAUCAACAUUAAAAGAUGAUUUGAUGUACAGUACAGGCCAAAAGUUUGGACACCUCAUUCAAUGGGUUUUCUUUAUUUUCAUGACUAUUUACAUUGUAGAUUGUCA